rnacentral:tRNA from 1 species
GCGCGAGUGGCGGAACGGUAGACGCGUCAGGUUUAGGUCCUGGUGUCCGAAAGGGCGUGGGGGUUCGACUCCCCCCUUGCGCA